rfam:Aedes albopictus isolate Foshan contig59973, whole genome shotgun sequence.
GGCUCGGUAGCUUAGUUGGAAAAGCAUUUGUCUAGCGAAUAAGGAUCGUGAGUUCAAAUCUCACCUGAACUG